CCCUAGUUUCUAAGGAUCAUGUCUGCGAGCCAGGAUUCCCGAUCCAGAGACAAUGGCCCCGAUGGGAUGGAGCCCGAAGGCGUCAUCGAGAGUAACUGGAAUGAGAUUGUUGACAGCUUUGAUGACAUGAACCUCUCGGAGUCCCUUCUCCGUGGUAUCUACGCCUAUGGUUUUGAGAAGCCCUCUGCCAUCCAGCAGCGAGCCAUUCUACCUUGUAUCAAGGGUGAGACCUCUCAGUCCCAGAAGACAUUGUGGACUGUCCCUGACCUGGGUAGAGUGGCAUCUGGUUGGUGAUGCCCAUCUCAUAUCAGCCAGGGACAAAGCAACUCCUUGUUCAUCCCAGCUUGGCUUUUGAUCCGUGCCCAUGCCUGGUUCAUGCCUUGGACACAUAGUUUUCCUUUAAAGAGGUGGUAUUGUAGCCAGCUUAUACUUGCAUCUACAGCCAUGUUUCUAGUCCAGCUUGGUGUGCAAUACUAGAUGAGUUAAUAACUGGUCCUUGUUUCUGAUCUGGUUCCCAUUGUGUAACUGUUGAUUGGGAAGGUAGUUUGUGAGCCAUGAAAUGCUUGGUUCAUUGGUUGCUUAUUGACCUCAUUAACCUAGGACUUGAAUAUCCCAAAGGGUAUGCUCUUUACCACAUUCAACUCCUAAUUUAUUUGUUUAGGUUAUGAUGUGAUUGCUCAAGCCCAAUCUGGGACUGGGAAAACGGCCACAUUU
rnacentral:sRNA from 1 species